UGGUUGUCAGGGAAAAGACGCAAGGGGCUGUGGGAGGAGCAACAGACUGGGUGGAGACGAGAGCUUCAAGGUGAGAUGAGGUGAACCUGAAAACCACUCCCGUCUCUACACAGCUGGAAAUUGCAGCCGCAUCCAAGGUGAGAUCAGCGGAUGCUUGACAAACUCAAAUUUGGGUUUCGACACGCUGACAUCCGUUUCAGCUGAGUUUCUGGAUGCCUGAACGACACCGAUGACGACACGAGAGGAUGUGGGAGGGAACUGGGAGCCUGAGCGUGGUUUCCGCAUGGUCCUAGUGCGUUUAUAGGUCAUAUUCCCAGUCCUCAGCUGUCACCUCUACACUAAGCAGAACUUGCUUCAUGUGUUAGCAUGACUGAAUGCACAAGUAAAAACAAUAAAAGACACACAAGCACGAGUCAUUUAAAAACUAGUUUAUUUCCAUCCCGACAUUAAAGGAAGGUAAUGGUGAACUGCAACCUUUUAUGGAGCUGAACAGGUCGAGCCUCAUCUACUGCACCGAUGCCUGGAAUGAUUUCAUUCAGGAUCAAUAACUUAUGUAAAAUAUUCUUUACAGCAAAAGGAUUGAAACUACAUAGUAAAAUACUGUACAGUGUUUUGCACACAUAGUAAGCACUUUGCACAUAACAGUAUUUAUUCCCUAUGGCAGACAUUUAUAGAUCUGGAGUUGAUCAUUAUGGCGGGUAACUGGUUCAAUUAGCACAA